rnacentral:rRNA from 1 species
AGUCGACGGCAGCGCGGGGCACCUGGCGGCGAGUGGCGAACGGGUGAGUAAUAUAUCGGAACGUACCCUGGAGUGGGGGAUAACGUAGCGAAAGUUACGCUAAUACCGCAUACGAUCUAAGGAUGAAAGUGGGGGAUCGCAAGACCUCAUGCUCCUGGAGCGGCCGAUAUCUGAUUAGCUAGUUGGUAGGGUAAAAGCCUACCAAGGCAUCGAUCAGUAGCUGGUCUGAGAGGACGACCAGCCACACUGGAACUGAGACACGGUCCAGACUCCUACGGGAGGCAGCAGUGGGGAAUUUUGGACAAUGGGCGCAAGCCUGAUCCAGCAAUGCCGCGUGAGUGAAGAAGGCCUUCGGGUUGUAAAGCUCUUUUGUCAGGGAAGAAACGGGAGUGGCUAAUAUCUGCUCCUAAUGACGGUACCUGAAGAAUAAGCACCGGCUAACUACGUGCCAGCAGCCGCGGUAAUACGUAGGGUGCAAGCGUUAAUCGGAAUUACUGGGCGUAAAGCGUGCGCAGGCGGUUUUGUAAGACUGUCGUGAAAUCCCCGGGCUCAACCUGGGAAUGGCGAUGGUGACUGCAAGGCUUUAGUUUGGCAGAGGGGGGUAGAAUUCCACGUGUAG